GACGGAAGGUGCAAGCGUUGCUCGGAAUCACUGGGCGUAAAGGGCGCGUAGGCGGCACGGUAAGUCGGGAGUGAAAGCCCGGGGCUCAACCCCGGAACGUCUUUCGAAACUGCCGAGCUAGAGUGCGGAAGAGGCAACUGGAAUUCCCAGUGUAGCGGUGAAAUGCGUAGAUAUUGGGAAGAACACCUGAGGCGAAGGCGGGUUGCUGGGCCGACACUGACGCUGAUGCGCGAAAGCCAGGGGAGCGAACGGG
rnacentral:rRNA from 1 species